rnacentral:rRNA from 1 species
UACGUAGGGUCCGAGCGUUGUCCGGAAUUACUGGGCGUAAAGAGCUCGUAGGUGGUUUGUCGCGUUGUUCGUGAAAACUCACAGCUUAACUGUGGGCGUGCGGGCGAUACGGGCAGACUGGAGUACUGCAGGGGAGACUGGAAUUCCUGGUGUAGCGGUGGAAUGCGCAGAUAUCAGGAGGAACACCGGUGGCGAAGGCGGCUACCUGGACAGAAACUGACGCUGAGGCACGAAAGCGAGGGGAGCAAACAGG